rnacentral:lncRNA from 1 species
AUUGAAUUCCAGCAAGUAUAAGAGAAAUGUAACAAUGGCUUUCCUAUUGAAUCCUCUGCAGAUUCCAGAUAAUGGAUUAUUCAUAGACCUUCCGCUCAUAAUAAGGUGCCCUUUAUUCCUGGAAUUUGAAGCAUUUCUCUCUUAAACUGCGAUUAUUUUCUGAUUCCAUUACUAAGUUCAGUUUUGACACAGUGGAACAAUUUCCUUAUCUCUCUCUUAAAAGUCACUGCAUUAUACCGUGUAAAUGAAAACAGCGACAUUUUCCAUGUGUAUGUUUUUCCAUAUGUGUGAUGUUUAUUAAAAAAAUCAAAGUGAUAUUUCAUAGCCCAGCAAAACAUUGUGUGAUGGGAAAUGCAGUUGUACCUUGCAGGUGCUUCUAGCUGAUAUAUAAUCAGUGCUGCUUGGCCACGCACAGCAAUGACUUUUAACAAACAGCGGAAGCAUCUGUAACUCCAGCACCAGCUACCUAUUUGAAAAGACUGCAGAGAUGAAGAAUAUCUGUAACAGGUGUGAAAUGGUAAUUGAUCCCAAUUCCGCUGGGAACACCAGCUCGUGCCUGACUCCAGUGCGUACCUGACCAUGCGUUCACCCAAAGUCAGGUGUGUACAAAACUUCCCGCUGAUUGUGGCUUUUGUUAUUGGGGAUGAAAUCAUCAGCUCUGAGGGUUUUGAUCUUUUUUUUCAAUACAGGGAUCUAUUUCAGCUUGGCUAUUCCUUGUGAAAUUCAGCUGUGAAAACACCAUGCAACUCAGAAGUCCCCUGCUAGCUGUUGAAAUCUGUACUGUUAUACAGAAGCUCCAGUCCAUGAGGAUAAAUCGAGGCAUGAUGAGAAUUCAUGAGCCCACACCUGCCAGCAAAAUACACAAGUACUGCAUUCAGGAGAGAUAUAUACCUGUUCUGGGAUGAUUGCUUGUUGCGAUGAGAAUACAGAGAAAGCAAUAGACAACCCAAAUGAUUAAAGGCAAGAAGCAGAAGUCCACUAUAAAAGCAGAAGCCCAGAAUGUGUGUCAAAAGUGAAUUAUGAAAAUAGCCUUGUACAUCCAUGGCAAUUUCACAGAGCCAUUCUGAUAACAAUGAACACGACAGCAUGCAAUAGGAAUAACAAUGCCUAGAAUUAUUUCAGCCAAUAUAUUUUUUAAGGACCAUCACUUUAGCUCUCUCUUUGCAACUGUAAAUGGUAGCUGAAUUAAUGAUAAAUAUGACUCAAGCAACAAAAGGCUCUGUGUUACACUCUAUUAUCUGCCUC